rnacentral:lncRNA from 1 species
GGGAGAAAAGAAAUACCGAAGGGUGACAUGGGGUGGAGAUCUCAGAUAGAGAUGAUCGUAUUCAUGAUGGCCACCAUGACGAUUCCUUCUUUCGAUUGCUCUUCUUCAGAAAUUUAGGAAGACGAAGAGAAAAUUGAGGGAAGAAGAGGGAGAGAAAAGGGUGGGGGGGGGGGAGGGUUUAUCUCUUCUCCUACUUGGGAGAUUUCGGAUGGAGACGAUCAUAUUGAUUCCUUCUUCUGACUGCUCUUUCUUCAAAAAUUUAGGAAGACAGAGAGCAAAUUGCAAAUUGGGAGAAGAAGGGGGAGA